rnacentral:rRNA from 1 species
AUGCACUUUUGGAUGAUGGGAGUUUUCUUUGAGCCCCAUUAUUCAUAUCCAAGAACCGUGCUUACAAAGUUGAUUACCCUUGUGUCGGUUUUUGAUGACUUCUAUGACAACUAUAGCACCGCAGAAGAAAGCACGAUGUUUACUUCAGCAAUUGACAGGUGGGACGAGCAUGCAGCUGAGAAAGUCCCAACAUACAUGAGGCCGUUCUACAAGGGCACCGUUUCCACCAUAAACUGCAUUGAAGAGGACUUGAAACUUCAGAAAAAUAAGCAUGCUGAGUUGGUUAAAGAACUGAAGUAA